rnacentral:rRNA from 1 species
UACGUAAGGGGCUAGCGUUGUCCGGAAUCAUUGGGCGUAAAGAGCGUGUAGGCGGUCCGGUAAGUCCGUUGUGAAAGUCAAAGGCUCAACCUUUGAACGCCGAUGGAUACUGCCGGGCUAGAGUCCGGAAGAGGCGAGUGGAAUUCCUGGUGUAGCGGUGGAAUGCGCAGAUAUCAGGAGGAACACCAAUAGCGAAGGCAGCUCGCUGGGACGGUACUGACGCUGAGGCGCGAAAGCGUGGGGAGCGAACAGG